rnacentral:rRNA from 1 species
GUUAUAUGGUCAAGUGAAGAAGCGCAUACGGUGGAUGCCUUGGCAGUCAGAGGCGAUGAAAGACGUGGUAGCCUGCGAAAAGCUUCGGGGAGUCGGCAAACAGACUUUGAUCCGGAGAUCUCUGAAUGGGGGAACCCACCUAGGAUAACCUAGGUAUCUUGUACUGAAUCCAUAGGUGCAAGAGGCGAACCAGGGGAACUGAAACAUCUAAGUACCCUGAGGAAAAGAAAUCAACCGAGAUUCCCUUAGUAGUGGCGAGCGAACGGGGAUUAGCCCUUAAGCUUCAUUGAUUUUAGCGGAACGCUCUGGAAAGUGCGGCCAUAGUGGGUGAUAGCCCCGUACGCGAAAGGAUCUUUGAAGUGAAAUCGAGUAGGACGGAGCACGAGAAACUUUGUCUGAACAUGGGGGGACCAUCCUCCAAGGCUAAAUACUACUGACUGACCGAUAGUGAACCAGUACCGUGAGGGAAAGGCGAAAAGAACCCCGGAGAGGGGAGUGAAAUAGAACCUGAAACCGUAUGCGUACAAGCAGUGGGAGCCUACUUGUUAGGUGACUGCGUACCUUUUGUAUAAUGGGUCAGCGACUUAUAUUCAGUGGCAAGCUUAACCGUAUAGGGUAGGCGUAGCGAAAGCGAGUCUUAAUAGGGCGUUUAGUCGCUGGGUAUAGACCCGAAACCGGGCGAUCUAUCCAUGAGCAGGUUGAAGGUUAGGUAACACUGACUGGAGGACCGAACCCACUCCCGUUGAAAAGGUAGGGGAUGACUUGUGGAUCGGAGUGAAAGGCUAAUCAAGCUCGGAGAUAGCUGGUUCUCCUCGAAAGCUAUUUAGGUAGCGCCUCAUGUAUCACUCUGGGGGGUAGAGCACUGUUUCGGCUAGGGGGUCAUCCCGACUUACCAAACCGAUGCAAACUCCGAAUACCCAGAAGUGCCGAGCAUGGGAGACACACGGCGGGUGCUAACGUCCGUCGUGAAAAGGGAAACAACCCAGACCGCCAGCUAAGGUCCCAAAGUUGUGGUUAAGUGGUAAACGAUGUGGGAAGGCUUAGACAGCUAGGAGGUUGGCUUAGAAGCAGCCAUCCUUUAAAGAAAGCGUAAUAGCUCACUAGUCGAGUCGGCCUGCGCGGAAGAUGUAACGGGGCUCAAACCACACACCGAAGCUGCGGGUGUCACGUAAGUGACGCGGUAGAGGAGCGUUCUGUAAGCCUGUGAAGGUGAGUUGAGAAGCUUGCUGGAGGUAUCAGAAGUGCGAAUGCUGACAUGAGUAACGACAAUGGGUGUGAAAAACACCCACGCCGAAAGACCAAGGGUUCCUGCGCAACGUUAAUCGACGCAGGGUUAGUCGGUUCCUAAGGCGAGGCUGAAAAGCGUAGUCGAUGGGAAACAGGUUAAUAUUCCUGUACUUCUGGUUACUGCGAUGGAGGGACGGAGAAGGCUAGGCCAGCUUGGCGUUGGUUGUCCAAGUUUAAGGUGGUAGGCUGAAAUCUUAGGUAAAUCCGGGGUUUCAAGGCCGAGAGCUGAUGACGAGUCGUCUUUUAGAUGACGAAGUGGUUGAUGCCAUGCUUCCAAGAAAAGCUUCUAAGCUUCAGGUAACCAGGAACCGUACCCCAAACCGACACAGGUGGUCGGGUAGAGAAUACCAAGGCGCUUGAGAGAACUCGGGUGAAGGAACUAGGCAAAAUGGCACCGUAACUUCGGGAGAAGGUGCGCCGGCUAGGGUGAAGGAUUUACUCCGUAAGCUCUGGCUGGUCGAAGAUACCAGGCCGCUGCGACUGUUUAUUAAAAACACAGCACUCUGCAAACACGAAAGUGGACGUAUAGGGUGUGACGCCUGCCCGGUGCCGGAAGGUUAAUUGAUGGGGUUAGCGCAAGCGAAGCUCUUGAUCGAAGCCCCGGUAAACGGCGGCCGUAACUAUAACGGUCCUAAGGUAGCGAAAUUCCUUGUCGGGUAAGUUCCGACCUGCACGAAUGGCGUAACGAUGGCGGCGCUGUCUCCACCCGAGACUCAGUGAAAUUGAAAUCGCUGUGAAGAUGCAGUGUAUCCGCGGCUAGACGGAAAGACCCGUGAACCUUUACUGUAGCUUUGCACUGGACUUUGAGCCUGCUUGUGUAGGAUAGGUGGGAGGCUUUGAAGCGUGGACGCCAGUUCGCGUGGAGCCAUCCUUGAAAUACCACCCUGGCAUGCUUGAGGUUCUAACUCUGGUCCGUGAUCCGGAUCGAGGACAGUGUAUGGUGGGCAGUUUGACUGGGGCGGUCUCCUCCUAAAGAGUAACGGAGGAGUACGAAGGUGCGCUCAGACCGGUCGGAAAUCGGUCGCAGAGUAUAAAGGCAAAAGCGCGCUUGACUGCGAGACAGACACGUCGAGCAGGUACGAAAGUAGGUCUUAGUGAUCCGGUGGUUCUGUAUGGAAGGGCCAUCGCUCAACGGAUAAAAGGUACUCCGGGGAUAACAGGCUGAUACCGCCCAAGAGUUCAUAUCGACGGCGGUGUUUGGCACCUCGAUGUCGGCUCAUCACAUCCUGGGGCUGAAGCCGGUCCCAAGGGUAUGGCUGUUCGCCAUUUAAAGUGGUACGCGAGCUGGGUUUAGAACGUCGUGAGACAGUUCGGUCCCCUAUCUGCCGUGGACGUUUGAGAUUUGAGAGGGGCUGCUCCUAGUACGAGAGGACCGGAGUGGACGAACCUCUGGUGUUCCGGUUGUCACGCCAGUGGCAUUGCCGGGUAGCUAUGUUCGGAAAAGAUAACCGCUGAAAGCAUCCUAAGCGGGAAACUUGCUCAAGAUGAGAUCUCACUGGGAACUUGAUUCCCCUGAAGGGCCGUCGAAGACUACGACGUUGAUAGGCUGGGUGUGUAAGCGUUGUGAGGCGUUGAGCUAACCAGUACUAAUUGCCGUGAGGCUUGACCAUAUAACACCCAA